rnacentral:lncRNA from 1 species
CAGCUGUCCUGGCUCUGCCACACCCUUGUUGCUGCACCAUAGAGGCAGUGUCUCUGGCCUGCUGAGUGGUCCUAUCUGUGCUCCCACAACAUUGGUGUGCUAUGAACACUGUCUCAGCUGAAGCCAGGACAGUCACCCUUGAGUUAAUACUUGGGAUGUUCUGAAGACUUGAUACACAGUCCUUCCAGUGGCACAUAAGACAACUGACGACAGCAGCAGCACAGUUGGGCAUGAAGGUUUUAUGCCUAUGUCUGUUCAGAAAUGCCCUUUCAGUUAUGUACUCCCAUAAACUGAAUCAGCAUAUAAAUCUGCACGCUAUGCAAUAGAUGUAUAUGUAGCGGAGGCGCUGGGAUCCA